UCUUGGAAUGCCUUCUAAUUCAAACAGAUAGUCAAUAGAGUACUAGACAGUCAAGCUCAAGAAAAGCUGAGUAAGCUUAGUGAUAUGGAGUUGACACCUCUCUGAGUUACAUUUGUAGACGUAUUUUGUGCAAUUAUUUGGAUGGUGAAUAUCAUUUCUACUAGCUUCCUUGCUGACUGCUCUCAAGUUAAGUUGGUGUUGCUGAUAUGCUUCCUUGCUGAUUGCUCUGCUAAAGUGCCUCAUUUCUACUGACUGACUCUUCUCUGUUGUAGACAAGUCAGUUUGAAUUUUUAUAUAAUUAGUCAUCAGAUAAACUGGAAUUUUAUAUAAUUAGGCAUCAGACAAUUGGGUGUGGUGGUUUUAAUCAUGGGCCACUAAUGUUGAUUUGGAUUUUGUGAAACUGGAAAUGAACUUCAUGGUAUUUGUAUGCAAUGAUGAUGGUAUUACUAUAAUGUAGAAAUCAUUGAUAUU